rnacentral:rRNA from 1 species
AUUGAACGCUGGCGGCAUGCUUUACACAUGCAAGUCGAACGGUAACAGGCCGCAAGGUGCUGACGAGUGGCGAACGGGUGAGUAAUGCAUCGGAACGUGCCCAGUCGUGGGGGAUAACGCAGCGAAAGCUGUGCUAAUACCGCAUACGAUCUAUGGAUGAAAGCGGGGGACCGUAAGGCCUCGCGCGAUUGGAGCGGCCGAUGUCAGAUUAGCUAGUUGGUGGGGUAAAGGCCCACCAAGGCGACGAUCUGUAGCUGGUCUGAGAGGACGACCAGCCACACUGGGACUGAGCAACGGCCCAGACUCCUACGGGAGGCAGCAGUGGGGAAUUUUGGACAGUGGGCGCAAGCCUGAUCCAGCAAUUCCGCGUGCAGGAAGACGGCCUUCGGGUUGUAAACUGCUUUUGUACGGAACGAAACGGUCUGGGUUAAUACCUCGGGCUAAUGACGGUACCGUAAGGAUAAGCACCGGCUAACUACGUGCCAGCCGCCGCGGUAAAAC